GAGGUCCCGCCUUAUAAGGGCGAGGAGGAUGAUAUGGCUCCAUGGUCUUGUUAGAUUGAUAGUUAUUGCUUGCUUGGACCUUAGGUGCAGGUAUUCCAGAUCCAUACGCAGAUGGCCGUGGAAACGAACCACUUCCAAGAAGCCCAUCAUGCUCAGAACUCUGUGAAAUGCGCAGGGCUUGAUUGCCAUAUCUCCUACCAGAAUCUGAAUCCCGAUCAGAUUGUGCAUCAUUAUCUCGAUCACUCCAUCCAGACGAACGGCUUUCCCAUCUUCCAUAA
rnacentral:misc_RNA from 1 species